ensembl:snoRNA small nucleolar RNA U3
AAGACUAUACUUUCAGGGAUCAUUUCUAUAGUUCUUGACUAGGAAAUGUGUUUCGAAAGUGUUGCGUCUCUCAAACCACGAUGAUGAGUGAAAGUGUACUCCUCUGAGCGUGAAUCGGAUAAUAGUUAGUGAUUUAAUCCCAGAUUAUUGUUAUUGAUGAACGUUCAUCGAUUCGGUUUGAGUCUUUGAGGGGGAGUGCAUGAUCCGAGUGGUU